AGCGGUAACACAGGGAGCUUGCUCCUGGGUGACGAGCGGCGGACGGGUGAGUAAUGUCUGGGAAACUGCCUGAUGGAGGGGGAUAACUACUGGAAACGGUAGCUAAUACCGCAUAACGUCGCAAGACCAAAGAGGGGGACCUUCGGGCCUCUUGCCAUCAGAUGUGCCCAGAUGGGAUUAGCUAGUAGGUGGGGUAACGGCUCACCUAGGCGACGAUCCCUAGCUGGUCUGAGAGGAUGACCAGCCACACUGGAACUGAGACACGGUCCAGACUCCUACGGGAGGCAGCAGUGGGGAAUAUUGCACAAUGGGCGCAAGCCUGAUGCAGCCAUGCCGCGUGUAUGAAGAAGGCCUUCGGGUUGUAAAGUACUUUCAGCGGGGAGGAAGGUGUUGUGGUUAAUAACCACAGCAAUUGACGUUACCCGCAGAAGAAGCACCGGCUAACUCCGUG
rnacentral:rRNA from 1 species